rnacentral:misc_RNA from 1 species
AAGUCGUAACAAGGUUUCCGUAGGUGAACCUGCGGAAGGAUCAUUAUAGAAUUCCAAUUGGGUCAGGUUGUGCUGGCUGAAAAGCAAGUGCACGCCUGCUCAUAAGCAUUCAAACCUCUGUGCACCUUUCAUGGAAUAGCUUGUAGAUUGGGUGACCUAUGUUGCUUGAUUUACAGCUGCUCUGUGUUUUUAUAAACUUCUUAAUCAGUUCAGAAUGUCUAUUGUGUUAAUACACAUCUUUAUACAACUUUCAGCAACGGAUCUCUUGGCUCUC